GGGCCUAUAGCUCAGUUGGUUAGAGCAGGCCGCUCAUAACGGUCUGGUCGUUGGUUCGAGUCCAUCUGGGCCCACCA
rnacentral:tRNA from 1 species